GAUGAACGCUAGCGACAGGCCUAACACAUGCAAGUCGAGGGGCAGCACAAGGAGCAAUCUGAGGUGGCGACCGGCGCACGGGUGAGUAACACGUAUGCAACCUACCUGUAAGAGGGGAAUAACCCGUUGAAAAACGGACUAAUACCGCAUAACACUGUAGAACCGCAUGGUUUGACAGUUAAACAUUUAUGGCUUACAGAUGGGCAUGCGCAUGAUUAGCUAGUUGGUGAGGUAACGGCUCACCAAGGCAACGAUCAUUAGGGGUUCUGAGAGGAAGGUCCCCCACACUGGUACUGAGACACGGACCAGACUCCUACGGGAGGCAGCAGUGAGGAAUAUUGGUCAAUGGGCGAGAGCCUGAACCAGCCAAGUCGCGUGAAGGAUGAAGGUUUUAUGAAUUGUAAACUUCUUUUGCAGGGGAAUAAAGUGUCCGACGUGUCGGAUUUUGUAUGUACUCUGCGAAUAAGGAUCGGCUAACUCCGUGCCAGCAGCCGAC
rnacentral:rRNA from 1 species